rfam:Streptomyces sp. MBRL 601 scaffold00152, whole genome shotgun sequence.
GUCGCGCAAGCGCCGUAGACAGGAGCGGGGGACCCAAGGUUUGCCGCCGCACCGGCCGUUCGCCCCGUCACGGGGCGGACGCCGGAGCGGCUCGGGGUGAAGCCGCGCGUUCCGCACUGGAGCGCGCGGCCGGGCACUCAUCCGGCCCGAACCCGACAGCUCACCUCGUAGGCGUCGGUGAGGAGAUUC